rnacentral:tRNA from 1 species
GCCCGGGUAGCACAGUGGUAGCUGCGCCUGCCUAGUAAGCAGGAGGAGGUCCGCGGUUCGAUCCCGCGCUGGGCA